CAGGGCCUGGGGCUGUAGCAGGUUAGGUGCUGGGACACUACUGACAGGACUGUGCUGAUUGUUUGGCACAGUCAUGUCCCAGGGGCAUUUGCCUUGCUGUAAAAAAUGAAUGAACCCAGGCUGGUGCCCUGAAGAGCUAGAUAAGAAUGGCAAAAUUUGAUAACAAAGGGAUGAAAACACAAAGCCUGAAGAGAUGUGAACGCAAGGAUGCUGAUCUCAACUGCUCUGAUUGUACAUUUCGGACAAACAGUAGCAUACAGAGGACUUGUACUGAAGCUUUGGGAUUUUCAGAUGCCCUUAGCUGCUCAAAACUCACUGACUUUUGAUUACAGUUUUUGCUGUUUAAUAUUUCAUAGGCA